rnacentral:tRNA from 1 species
GGGCGCCUAGCUCAGUUGGUAGAGCAGCUGACUCUUAAUCAGCGGGUCACAGGUUCGAUCCCUGUGGCGCCCACCA